AGUGAGAUGAUUCUUAUGCCAGAGUACACACCAGGUGAAUACUGACAGGAGAAGACAAGGAAAAUCGACACUUUCGACAAUCACAUGGUCCAGUACAUUUUUAGACAGCUUUAGUUUGGCUAAAUAUAGUUGUAAUCUAUUUCUGUUGCUAAGCAUUGCCAUUUUUAUUAGGUGAGGUACUUGGUUUGAAAAUGCAGAGUCCAGAUCUCAUCGAGAACUGCCUGGAUGAGAAGACUCGAGGCGUCGGUGACUCUGAGCUCUGCAAACAGAAAGCUCCAGGUGCGUGCAUGUGGCUGAUUCCUGGUCAAAGCUCUUUCGUUUGGUUAUAGGUGAUUGUCCCCCACUGUGUUCUCAUGUGGCAGAAGGUUACAGCUAGCUCUCUGAUACCUGAUAUCACAUAAGAGCCCUAAUUCCAUCAUGAAGCUACCUGACCUCAUUUGACCAACGGCCUCCCCAAGUUUACCUCCAGUGACUAUCACCUUGAAGGCUAUAAAACUUCAUUCUAGAAAAAGGCUGAAAAUUUUGAAUCAUCACAUGAAAACAUUUAUAACCCAAUGAAUUAAAAUUCAAUCUCUAUAACUAAAAAAGUACAAAAAUAAAUCUGAAUACACAUGCACUCAUAUGUGCACAGGUACAGGUACUAAUGCUAAGGAUAUUCAAAUAACUAUUGUUACUGUGUUAGACAUAAAAAAAAAGCUAAAUCAAAUUUCUAAAGAUUAAGGACUUUAAAAGCUGAGGAGAAAGUUACAGUGAUGAGAUUUGUGUGUGUGUAUUCAGAUUUAGUUUUGUACUUUUUAAGAUUUGUGGUGGUUUGAACAGGAAUGGCCCCCAUAGAUUAAUGUUUGAAUGCUUGGUUCAUAGAGAGUGGCACUAUUAGGAGACGUGACCUUGUUGGAGGAAGUGUGUCCCUGUCAGGGUAGGCUUUGAAGUCUCUUAAAUGCUCAAGCUCUGCCUAGUGUGGAACGAAGUCUGAUCUUGACGCCUGGGGAUCGAGAUGUAGAACUCUCAGCUCCUUCUCCAGCCCCAUGCCUUCCCGCGGGCUGCCAUGCUUUCCACCAUGACGAUAAUGCACGAAACCUCUGAAACUGUAAGCCAGCCACGAUUAAAUGUCCUUUAUAAGAACUGCUGUGGUCAUGAUGUCUCUUCAUGGAGUAAAAUCCCAACUAAGACAGAGUUCAUGGCAAAAGAUUGUGAACUUGAAGACAAAGCAGUAAAUCUGACUAUAUAAAUAUAUAAGGCAACAGAUCUAAAUAAAUCUAAAAUUAAAUCCCAGAAGGAAAAACUUUCUACAGAUGAAUUAAAGUCCGACUGUGAACUGUAUCGUGACCUCAGAGAUAAAUAGACGUGCCACCGGUGUCCUACGGGUGUGGGAAGGACACACAAACCAUCUGAAGAGAUUGAAAUAGUUCAGCUUUGCUGAAAACCCAAAACAAAUGGGUAGAAGAAACACGGGGAAGCCUAAGCGCAAAGUCUCCUGAGGAAAACCCCACAGAACCAUAUCAGAGUCAAAGAGCUCAAAAAAAAAAAAAUCAGUGAUGAAGAUAAAACGUUGAAAAGCAGCCAGGAAAAGCAGGCAGAAGAGCAAAGACAGGGUUUGCCACGCAUUCCUCCUGAGAAAUUACAGGAGGCUGAGACGACGGAGUGGCAUCUUUAAGCUAUUGGAAGAAAAAUAAACUGUCAUCUAGAUAUUUAAUCCAGUGAAAAUAUCUCCCAAGGAUAAAGGUGCAUCAACAGAGUUUCCUGAUAUAUAAAAGAUGGAAGAAUGCAUCACGAACAGACCUAACGUACAAGAAACAGAAAAGGAAAAAAAAAAAAAAAAAAGAAGAAAUUCAGGCAGGAGGAAAAUAUCACCAGAUGGAAAUAUGGAUCUAGACAAGAAUGGAGCAGGAUGAAAAGGGGUAACGCUGUGGGGAAAUAUGGAAGGCUGUUUUGUUCUUAAAAUCUCAGAGUCUUUAUAACGUUAAAAGAUAAUUGAUGGUUUAAGUAUAAAUACCACUGUAUUCUGAGUGUUAUUAUAGGAGAUGCCUAAGUAAAACAUUGGAAACAAUAGCAUUGAUGCCAGGAGGAAGAAAUGGAGGACAGCCUCACCAGACUCUUAGACUAUGUGACUAAGGGUAGGCUAGGUAUACAUUAAUAUUUUCCAAUUUUUAAAAAUUAUCUUUUAUUGGUUACUUUGGAAUCUCAUAUGGUGCACCUCAAUUGUGCUUAGCUCCCAAUCCUUUACAUGUCUGCAUCCUAUUCUGACCUCCCUUCCCACCCACCCUCCCCCAAAAUUAAAAUGGAGAAAGGAGAAAAAGGAAAAAAAAACCACCAAGUCCAUUUUGGAUUGUUAGUACACUUACUGGAGCAUGGUCAAAUUCCUAUUGGCCAGCCCCCCCAGGGAGAAUGAAUCUUUCUCUGCCUGCUUUCUUGCCAGAAGCCAUCAGCUGAAGAGAGCAGUACCAAAGUGAGCUGGGGUCAGCUCUCAUGCACCCACGCCACCAUGCUGUGGGCCAGCACCCAAGGACAUUAACAUGGCUUCAGGCAGCUGCUCAGACCACAAACAUCCGAGUGGGUUUGGGUGGGAAUACAGGCCAUAGGUCUCAACAUGGCCUGAGGUGGCUGCACAUGGGAUCGUCCCCUGAGACAGCAAUGCCUGAGGACAUUGUGGUGAUUCGAACAGGAUUGGCCCCAUAGACUCAUGUGUUUGAGUGCUUGGCCCACGGGGAGUGGCAUUAUUAGGAGGUGUGGUGUUGUUGUAGAAAGUGCAACCAUAUGGGUUUUGAGGUUUUUCUCUGCUCAAGCUCUGCCCAGUGUGGAGUUUAGUCUCCUGGCUGCCUGAAGAAGACAGUCUCCUGCUGCCUUGAGGAUCAAGAGGUAGAACUCUCAGAUCCUUCUCCAGCAUCAUGUCUACCUGCACACUGCCAUGCUUUCUGCCAUGAUCAUGGACUAAACCCCUGAAACUGACAGCCAGCCCCCAAUUAACUGCUUUCCCUUAAAAGAGUAGCCUUGGUCACGGUAUCUCUUCGUAGCAGUAAAACCCUAA